UAAGUGGCCUCAUGAGAGCCAACGCCCUAUUCACCGUUCCAGUCACCAGCUGAGAUCAUCUGUGGGCUGCAGUUUCUCCACACCAGAGGCAUCAUACACAGGGACAUAAAACCAGCCAAUAUCUUAAUGAACAGCGCCGGUCACUUGAAGAUCGCCGAUUUUGGUCUUGCCGUGAUGAACAUCUUUGGGGAUAAGAAGAUCUCAGAAUAUGCCGGAACUCUUAGAUACAUGGCUCCUGAGAUUCUUCUACGGAAGCCCUACAACACGGCAGUGGACUGGUUCUCAGCUGGUGUGAUGAUAUAUGAGAUGGCUACUGGCAAAUAUCC